rnacentral:rRNA from 1 species
CCUACGGGGGGCAGCAGUGAGGAAUAUUGGUCAAUGGACGAGAGUCUGAACCAGCCAAGUAGCGUGAAGGAUGACUGCCCUAUGGGUUGUAAACUUCUUUUAUAUGGGAAUAAAAUGUUCCACGUGUGGGAUUUUGUAUGUACCAUAUGAAUAAGGAUCGGCUAACUCCGUGCCAGCAGCCGCGGUAAUACGGAGGAUCCGAGCGUUAUCCGGAUUUAUUGGGUUUAAAGGGAGCGUAGGUGGAUUGUUAAGUCAGUUGUGAAAGUUUGCGGCUCAACCGUAAAAUUGCAGUUGAAACUGGCAGUCUUGAGUACAGUAGAGGUGGGCGGAAUUCGUGGUGUAGCGGUGAAAUGCUUAGAUAUCACGAAGAACUCCGAUUGCGAAGGCAGUUCACUGGACUGCAACUGACGCUGAGGCUCGAAAGUGUGGGUAUCAAACAGGAUUAGAUACCCCAGUAGUC